rnacentral:rRNA from 1 species
UACGUAGGGGGCAAGCGUUAUCCGGAAUCACUGGGCGUAAAGGGUGCGUAGGCGGCCAAACAAGUCAGGGGUGAAAGGCUACGGCUCAACCGUAGUAAGCCUUUGAAACUGUUUGGCUUGAGUGCAGGAGAGGAGAGUGGAAUUCCUAGUGUAGCGGUGAAAUGCGUAGAUAUUAGGAGGAACACCAGUGGCGAAGGCGACUCUCUGGACUGCAACUGACGCUGAGGCACGAAAGCGUGGGGAGCAAACAGG